rnacentral:rRNA from 1 species
CCUACGGGGGGCUGCAGUGGGGAAUUUUGGACAAUGGGGGCAACCCUGAUCCAGCCAUUCCGCGUGAGUGAAGAAGGCCUUCGGGUUGUAAAGCUCUUUUGUCCGGAGCGAAACGGGCGGCCCUAAUACGGUCGUCUACUGACGGUACCGGAAGAAUAAGCACCGGCUAACUACGUGCCGGCAGCCGCGGUAAUACGUACGGUGCGAGCGGGAAUCGAGCGUACUGGGCGUGUAGUGUGCGCCAGCUGUGAAAUCCCCGGGCUCAACCUGGGAAUGGCAUUUGGGACUGCAAGGCUGGAGUGUGGCAGAGGGGACUAGAAUUCCUGGUGUAGCAGUGAAAUGCGUAGAUAUCAGGAGGAAUACCGAUGGCGAAGGCAGGUCCCUGGGUUAACACUGACGCUCAUGCACGAAAGCGUGGGGAGCAAACAGGAUUAGAUACCCCUGUAGUC